GGAAGUAAAAGUCGUAACAAGGUUUCCGUAGGUGAACCUGCGGAAGGAUCAUUAAUGGGUAUGCGUGCCUCGGCAUGCAUCAUCUCUGCACACACACCGUGUUUACGAAAUGUCUGUCGCUUCGGGCGGUGUCGGUGGUCCAUCAUCCGCAUCGCCCGGCAGCACACUCUGUUUCACGCCUUGAUUGCCAAGCAUGUACUGAUGAGAACGAGUUGCCCGGAAACGGGCACGCAAACACAAUACAACUGCUAGCAACGGAUCACUUGGUUCCCGCAUCGAUGAAGAGCGUAGCGAAUUGCGAAAAGUAAUGCGACUUGCAUAAAUCGUGAGCCAUCGAAUCCUUGAACGCACAUUGCACCCUUUGGUAACCCGAAGGGUCUGGCUGUCUGAGUGUCGAUUAGUCUAACAUCGCCCUCGUUCGGGGGACGGAGAUGGGGCGUUUGCUCAUUGAUGGCAAUCCCCUGAAACAAAGACAGAGAGCACAUCCGCGCGCAGGCAUGUCCUCACCCGACAUGCCUGAGAGACGUUGCAAUCGGGUCCGUUACGGCUCGUUGACACAAGCACGCCUCGCCACGCAUCCACAACGAUGUCUCCCUUCAUCUGCACAGCAUCCGCGUGAGUGUCUCCACACACACACACACACACACAACUCGAUCUCAGAUCAGCCAGGAUUACCCGCUGAACUUAAGCAUAUCAAUAAGCGGAGGA
rnacentral:rRNA from 1 species